rnacentral:lncRNA from 1 species
AAAAAAGGAUUUAUAUACUUUUUGACGUAUCUAGUCUCUCUCUCUCCACCUUUUCUCUUUCUCUCAAGACUCUCAAAGCGUCGUCAGAUCCAGUUUCUUCACCGGCGUCCGGCGGCGAGUGUGAGCGCGUGCUGGCGCCGGUACUCCUCCUCCUCUAUCUUGUCUGCUCUUUGCUUCAGCGGUAGUCCCUCCUCCCUAUUUUCUUUGUUGUCGGCUCUGGUUCGGCGAGCUCUAGUCGUCUUCGUUCCGCGCGCGAGGUUAACGACGGCGGUGAAAGCUUGGUUAGAUCUGGUGGCACGGCGCGGUGGGUGUAGGAGUUUCAUCCGGAGGAGUCGGCUUUUAGUGGCUGUGAGAGAGAAUCGCGUUUCAACCUUAGAUCUCUCUCUCUCGUGUCCUCUUUGUUCUUAGCCGUGUGGAAGGCGCGCCUCUCGGGUUCUGCGGUGCGUUGGUGCUGUUCUCUCUGAUGAGGUGUGCAGCUUUAGAGGUUGGUGGUUGCGAGUCUCAACGGCGUCGUCGGGGCUCCUCUCCUUCUCGUCGAAGUCAAAGUCUACUCCGGUGUUCUGGAGAUGAGUUUAUGUGGGUUGGUGUGCAGGCGGAGAUGGCACUUGCCUCGUUUAUGACUCGUGUUGGGUGUGGAGUGGGAUGUGUUCUUGGUCGUCUAUGGCCAGUAAAUUUCCGCUUAGCAAGCCUCGAGACUUUUUGGAAUCUAUGCUUUGUCAUUGAUCUUGAGUUCUUCAUUGGAUAGUGGCGACUAUUCUAGUGUGGUUCGGGCUCUGGUGUUUAUGGUGUUUCACUGUUGACUCCGGUGAUUCAUUUGCGAGUUCACAAUCACCGUUUCUUCGGUUCUCGAAGGCGGCAAGAGUCGUUCCGGCCUUGGUCUCGGUCGUGACGGAGUUUCUCUUGUGCCCGGUUACCUUCCCAGUGUCGGUGAAGGGUCAUUUGAUUCAUCAAUGGUAGUGUAGCUUGGCUGGUUUGUGCAGGUCGUUAGAGCCCUCUCGGUUGGUGUGUGACAUGGAGGUCAGGCCCAUUUUGUACAGGUAUCGGGGUGGCAGUAGCGAGCCUUUUUUCCUUGUUUGGGAGGCGGUUUCAAAUGUUGUGUGACGUUGUGUACAAGCCGAGACUUGGUGGUAUUGCAAGGCUCAUGUGGUAAGUAUCCAAAACCCUCCCCUAUUUGUUGUCGAGUGCUUCAUAGAUAGUGAUGGUUACAAGCUCGGUGGAGUUGAUUGGGAGCUAGCUACUCCGGAGACGACUUGAGAAGUUUCGGAAUCCGAGGCAACGAGGAGAACCUCACCUUCUUGGGAUCAUCGUCAAUGGUAGAGAGCAGUAACCAAUUCCAAAGAAUUUCGAAAGACAUACUAGCGGAAUGUGUCGGUUUUAGUGGACGGGUGAAGCUAGUUUGUAAUAGCUUGACUUUGGAAAUUUUGUUCAAAACAUGUUUGUAACCGAAUCUAAUUCCCGAUUUCGGGUUGAAUUAAUAUUUUUUUUUUAUUAAAAAAAAAAUAAGUCUCAUAUAAGCGUUUUCACUUGUUGAGAAUCCGUCUCGUUCAAUGACUGUACGUUGUUUUCAUGGUUCUCAUCACAAGGGAAAUGCAAGAAUCAUGUUUCUUGGGAGACAAGGCGAGUCCUUCCAAACUCUAGCGUGCAACUUAAGCAACUCCUUUGCCUUCUCUUUUGUCUUGCUUCCACAGUUAACCUGAAGCACAAGACACAGCUUCGAUACGCCCCCCAACUGUAACAUCUCGUGCAGCAAAGCCGGCGUCGCGCAGAACCUUCCCACCUAUAACAAAACCCUAACAGCUCUAUCGCUUGCCGUCUGCGAAAUCCUCAGUAUCUUCAUGCACACCACUGCUAUAGCCGCUCCGUGGUUCAAGAACUCAGCUCGUCCCUACGCACACUGACACAACAGAUCAAGAACCACCAUCGCCAUCUCUGGACCUUUCCUAUCUGAUGAGAAGCUAUCGUCCAUGAGACUCUAAAUCAUCACAGAUACCGCUCCAGCUUCCGCUUUAAGAUUUAUCUACAAGUUAUUGGUUGGCUAAGAAAUUACUUAGGUUGGCUUAGGGAUGUUAAAACGGGCUACCCGAGCCUGUUUAAGCCCUGCCCGUUUAAAGUCAUGCCCGUCCAGAGCCUGUUAACUGCAUUCCCGUUAAAGUCCGAUUAACUAUGACCCGUUUACAAUUGUGAUGUCCGUUUAGAUCUGUGAGCCCUUUUUUUCUUUCUAAUUAUAAUUAAUUAAUUUUUAAUGACAUUAAACUUUAUAUUUUUUUUGUAAUGAUGUUGUCUUUAAUUAUUUCUUUUACUUUUUAUCGUUUCUUUUUUUCUAAAUGCAGUUUUAAUUAUCUUAAGAUAUGAUAUUGUACAAACUUUUUAAAAACCUAUUUUUAAAUCCAGUUUUAAUUAUUUCACAUGCUCAAUAACAUGUAAUAAACCAGAUUUGUGUAUCUAAUACAUAUUUAAAAUCUGCAGUGUAUCUAAUACAAUUUAAAAUCUGCAAGUACAUAAAAUCUAAAACUUAGAAAGUGAAAUACAACAAACCAUAGAGAGUCUGAAAGUACAUAAUGCUUGUGUCUGAAAUUAGAAAAAAAAAAACUGCAAACCAUUUAGAAACAAGACAUAAACCAACUUCAUCCUCCUCUGUUAGUCUCAAACCAACAAUCCCUACUCCAUCUACAUGGAGCUUUGAUCUGCAACGAAAAAAAGGGUUUUAACACAAAACAAUUAUAUGUAGCCAACCAAAUAAAGUGAGAACUAAAGUGAUACAUUACGACAGUGCCGGCCCUGGGGUAAAGCACACGAAGCAAGGGCUUCAGGCGCCACAAUCUAUAUAAUUUUUCGGGGCACCAAGACUAAGUAAGUUCCUUUAGUAAGGUGGUUGUGUUCUUGUAAGUUUUUACUAUGGGUGGCGAGUUCAAAUCUCAGCUUCUUAGCUUCUUUUUUCCCCUUUGAACAAUUUAAAAGAUGUUGGACCUGAUAUCUAACAAAUUCGACUGAGUUCUUCAUUGGAUAGUGGCGACUAUUCUAGUGUGGUUCGGGCUCUGGUGUUUAUGGUGUUUCACUGUUGACUCCGGUGAUUCAUUUGCGAGUUCACAAUCACCGUUUCUUCGGUUCUCGAAGGCGGCAAGAGUCGUUCCGGCCUUGGUCUCGGUCGUGACGGAGUUUCUCUUGUGCCCGGUUACCUUCCCAGUGUCGGUGAAGGGUCAUUUGAUUCAUCAAUGGUAGUGUAGCUUGGCUGGUUUGUGCAGGUCGUUAGAGCCCUCUCGGUUGGUGUGUGACAUGGAGGUCAGGCCCAUUUUGUACAGGUAUCGGGGUGGCAGUAGCGAGCCUUUUUUCCUUGUUUGGGAGGCGGUUUCAAAUGUUGUGUGACGUUGUGUACAAGCCGAGACUUGGUGGUAUUGCAAGGCUCAUGUGGUAAGUAUCCAAAACCCUCCCCUAUUUGUUGUCGAGUGCUUCAUAGAUAGUGAUGGUUACAAGCUCGGUGGAGUUGAUUGGGAGCUAGCUACUCCGGAGACGACUUGAGAAGUUUCGGAAUCCGAGGCAACGAGGAGAACCUCACCUUCUUGGGAUCAUCGUCAAUGGUAGAGAGCAGUAACCAAUUCCAAAGAAUUUCGAAAGACAUACUAGCGGAAUGUGUCGGUUUUAGUGGACGGGUGAAGCUAGUUUGUAAUAGCUUGACUUUGGAAAUUUUGUUCAAAACAUGUUUGUAACCGAAUCUAAUUCCCGAUUUCGGGUUGAAUUAAUAUUUUUUUUUUAUUAAAAAAAAAAUAAGUCUC